CCACCCGUGUCUAUCGUACCUUGUUGCUUCGGCGGGCCCGCCGUUUCGACGGCCGCCGGGGAGGCCUUGCGCCCCCGGGCCCGCGCCCGCCGAAGACCCCAACAUGAACGCUGUUCUGAAAGUAUGCAGUCUGAGUUGAUUAUCGUAAUCAGUUAAAACUUUCAACAACGGAUCUCUUGGUUCCGGCAUCGAUGAAGAACGCAGCGAAAUGCGAUAAGUAAUGUGAAUUGCAGAAUUCAGUGAAUCAUCGAGUCUUUGAACGCACAUUGCGCCCCCUGGUAUUCCGGGGGGCAUGCCUGUCCGAGCGUCAUUGCUGCCCUCAAGCACGGCUUGUGUGUUGGGCCCCCGUCCCCCUCUCCCGGGGGACGGGCCCGAAAGGCAGCGGCGGCACCGCGUCCGGUCCUCGAGCGUAUGGGGCUUUGUCACCUGCUCUGUAGGCCCGGCCGGCGCCAGCCGACACCCAACUUUAUUUUUCUAAGGUUGACCUCGGAUCAGGUAGGGAUACCCGCUGAACUUAAGCAUAUCAAUAAGCGGAGG
rnacentral:rRNA from 1 species